rnacentral:hammerhead_ribozyme from 1 species
AUUCAGCUGAUGAGUCACAAAUAGGACGAAACACGCAUCUUGAAU